rnacentral:rRNA from 1 species
UAAGUGAUGGCGACCGGCGCACGGGUGAGUAACACGUAUCCAACCUGCCGAUAACUCGGGGAUAGCCUUUCGAAAGGAAGAUUAAUACCCGAUGGUAUAAUAAAGCCGCAUGGUUUAAUUAUUAAAGAAUUUCGGUUAUCGAUGGGGAUGCGUUCCAUUAGGCAGUUGGUGAGGUAACGGCUCACCAAACCUUCGAUGGAUAGGGGUUCUGAGAGGAAGGUCCCCCACAUUGGAACUGAGACACGGUCCAA